CGGACGGGUGAGUAAUGUCUGGGAAACUGCCUGAUGGAGGGGGAUAACUACUGGAAACGGUAGCUAAUACCGCAUAACGUCGCAAGACCAAAGAGGGGGACCUUCGGGCCUCUUGCCAUCGGAUGUGCCCAGAUGGGAUUAGCUAGUAGGUGGGGUAACGGCUCACCUAGGCGACGAUCCCUAGCUGGUCUGAGAGGAUGACCAGCCACACUGGAACUGAGGCACGGUCCAG
rnacentral:rRNA from 1 species